rnacentral:rRNA from 1 species
AUGAACGCUGGCGGCGUGCCUAGUACAUGCAAGUCGAGCGAACAGACGAGGAGCUUGCUCCUCUGACGAUAGCGGCGGACGGGUGAGUAACACGUGGAUAACCUACCUAUAAGACUGGGAUAACUUCGGGAAACCGGAGCUAAUACCGGAUAAUAUAUUGAACCGCAUGGUUCAAUAGUGAAAGACGGUUUUGCUGUCACUUAUAGAUGGAUCCGCGCCGCAUUAGCUAGUUGGUAAGGUAACGGCUUACCAAGGCAACGAUGCGUAGCCGACCUGAGAGGGUGAUCGGCCACACUGGAACUGAGACACGGUCCAGACUCCUACGGGAGGCAGCAGUAGGGAAUCUUCCGCAAUGGGCGAAAGCCUGACGGAGCAACGCCACGUGAGUGAUGAAGGUCUUCGGAUCGUAAAACUCUGUUAUUAGGGAAGAACAAAUGUGUAAGUAACUAUGCACGUCUUGACGGUACCUAAUCAGAAAGCCACGGCUAACUACGUG